UGUGUAGGCGGGUCGGUAAGUCGGGCGUGAAAGCCUGCGGCUCAACCGCGGAACUGCGCUUGAUACUGUCGGCCUGGAGUACGGGAGAGGAAAGCGGAACUCACGGUGUAGCGGUAAAAUGCGUAGAUAUCGUGAGGAACACCAGUGGCGAAGGCGGCUUUCUGGCCCGAUACUGACGCUGAAACACGAAAGCCAGGGGAGCGAACGGGAUUAGAUACCCCGGUAGUCCUGGCCGUAAACGAUGGGCACUAGGUGUGGGAAGCAUCGACCCUUUCCGUGCCGAAGCUAACGCAUUAAGUGCCCCGCCUGGGGAGUACGAUCGCAAGGUUGAA
rnacentral:rRNA from 1 species